ensembl:lncRNA
AUCCACUAACCAUCCCUACUUCUCCCUACCCCCACCCCCUUACCCUCCUUCCCAGCCUCUAGUAACCAUCCUUCUACUCUCUACAUCUAUCAGUUCAAUUGUUUUGAUUUUUAGAUCCCACAAAUAAGUGAGAACAUGCAAUAUAUGUGUUUAUGUGCUUGGCUUAUUUCACUUAACAGAAUGCCCUCCAGUUUCUCCCAUGUUGUUGCAAAUAACUGGAUCUUACUCUUUUUUAUGGCUGAAUAGUACUCCAUUGUGUAUAUGGACCAUAUUUUCUUUAUCCAUUCUUCGUCUGCUUCCAAAUUUUAGCUAUCGUGAAUAGCACUGCAAUAAACAUGAGAGUGCAGAUAUCUCUUUGAUAUCCUGAUUUCCUUUCUUUUGGGUGUAUACCUAGUAGUGAGUUUGCUGGAUCACAUGGUAGAUUUAUUUAUUUUUUGAGGAAUUUUCAAACUUGUCCGCAUAGUGGUUGUGCUAAUUUGCAUUUCUGUCAGUAGUGUAGAGGGUUCUCCACUCGCCACCAGCAUUUGUUAUCGCCUAUCUUUUGGAUAAAAGCUGAAAAAAGCUCAAGCUUUUCAUGACGUGGUCCUGUCUAUAACAGCAAGGACUUGGGAGUCAGCUGCUUGGGUUUUACUCUGGCUCCACUCUCUACAAACAGGGGUGUCCAAACUUUUGGCCUCCCUGGGCCACACUGGAAGAAGAAGAAUUGUCUUGGACCGCUGUAAAAUACUCUGACGAUAGCCGAUGAGCUUUAAAAAAAUCACAAAAGAACCGUAAUGUUUUAAGAAAGUUUACAAAUUUGUGUUCGGCUGCACUCAAAGCCCUCCCGGGCCACACAUGGCCUGCAGCCCAUGGGCUGGACAAGUUUGCCCUACAAGCUUUAUGACUGUGGGCAAAUCCAUAGCCCUUCUGUGCCUCAGUUUCCUCAUCUAUCAGCAGUGGAGAUUGAACAACCCAAUAUAUUUAUGUAAACACACAGAAGAGUUUCUGGCAUGUAGCAAAUAUUAUGUUAAGUGUUUGCAAGUUUUAGUAAAAACAUUAAAUGAUUGAACAAUGUUAAUUAUUUUCUUCAUUAAAUGCAUCCCAUAAAAACACCUGCUUCAAUAAUUGCUUCCUGCUAUUUCUUCACUAAAAGCAGAAACAUAUUAAAAGACAAGAUCAAGUUAAGAAAUAUGAACAGACAAGAUUUCAUCAAGCAGGACACCUCUUUUCUAAAAUUAUCUUCUCUAAAGCAAAAAUCUCUUGCAUAAGGGCCUGGCACGGGGAAGGUUUGGAGGGAAGAUGGCAGGAGUGUGGUCUAUGGUCAGGAAAGAGGAAAUGCACUAAGAAUAAGUUUCUGUUUUGGCUGGGCGUGGUGGCUCACACCUGUGAUCCCAGCACUUUGGGAAGCCAAGGCGCACGCAUCACAAGGUCAGGAGAUCGAGACCAUCCUGGAUAACAAGAUGAAACCUUGUCUCUACUAAAAAUACAAAAAAUUAGCCAGGUGUGGUGCCGGGCGCCUGUAGUCCCAGCUACUUCGGAGGCUGAGACAGGAGAAUGGUGUGAACCCGGGAGGCGGAGGUUGCAGUGAGCUGAGAUCACGCCACCGCACUCCAGCCUAGGUGACAGAGCGAGACUCCGUCUCAAAAAAAAAAAAAAAAAAAAAA